rnacentral:rRNA from 1 species
GACGAACGCUGGCGGCGUGCUUAACACAUGCAAGUCGAACGGUAAGGCCCUUCGGGGUACACGAGUGGCGAACGGGUGAGUAACACGUGGGUGAUCUGCCCUGCACUUCGGGAUAAGCCUGGGAAACUGGGUAUAAUACCGGAUAGGACAACUACCUGCAUGGGUGGUGGGGGAAAGAUUUGGCGGUGUGGGAUGGGGCGGCGGCCGAUCAGCGUGUUGGUGGGGUGAUGGCCUACCAAGGCGACGACGGGUAGCCGGCCUGAGAGGGUGACCGGCCACACUGGGACUGAGAUACGGCCCAGACUCCUACGGGAGGCAGCAGUGGGGAAUAUUGCACAAUGGGCGCAAGCCUGAUGCAGCGACGCCGCGUGAGGGAUGACGGCCUUCGGGUUGUAAACCUCUUUCAGCACCGACGAAGCGCAAGUGACGGUAGGUGCAGAAGAAGGACCGGCCAACUACGUGCCAGCCGCCGCCGUAA